rnacentral:SRP_RNA from 1 species
GCCAGGCUUGGUGGCGCAAGCCUGUAAUCCCAGCUAUUCAGGAGGCUGAGGUAGGAGAAUCGCUUGAACCCAGGAGGUGGAAGUUGCAGUGAGCCAAGAUCGUGCCACUGCACUCUACCCUGGGUGACAGAGCGAGACUCCGUCUCAA